rnacentral:rRNA from 1 species
CAAAUCCUCAACGAUGGAUAUCUAGGUUCCUACAACGAUGAAGAACGCAGCGAAGUGCGAUAAGCAAUGCGAAUUGCAGAACCGGGAGUCAUCAGAUUUUUGAACGCAACUGGCUCCUGAGGGCUCUCCCUCAGGAAUGCUUCUUUCAGUGUG